GUCUCUGAUCCGGCCGUGACCUCUUCAUAGCUUUGGAUCCAGUGCUCAGGCUCCUCUCCUUACCCAUAGCCCCCAUGUACAGAACAAGCUACCCCCAAAUCUCGUUUGCCACCUUCAAGUGCUGAUGGAUCUGUGGUGCUUGGGCGUAGCCACUUGAGAAAACAAUUUCAGAUUAGGUUUACUAAAAUAAUUUUUCAGACAGAAACAUACAUACAGAGGAGACAUCCUGUAUCUCACUUGCAGAGUCCAUCUCAGUGUUUCAACACUUACUGACAGCUCCUGGCAUUCCUGGCUUCACUUGUUCGAGAAACUGCAGUUCCUUGCUUGGAACAGAGGGAGCAGGCUGGAGAAUUUAGUGCUGCGUCACAGUGUGUGUGUGUGUGUGUGUAUGAAAAAGCUAAAUACAGAGAAGGAAUAGGCUCUGUCGAUGGCUCUACAAGAGACAGCAAUACUGCUGCAGCAAAAGCAGGAGAGAGAGGGAGGGAGAGAGUAAAAGGAUCGAGCUGUAAAAGCAACGUCACUACCCUGCAUCUCAAGACAUGACAACUGCAUAUCACAGCACAUCAAGAACUAUAGCUAGAGCAUAUCCAGAGUUAAUGCAUAAUAUUAAAGGAUUAAUUUUAUAAGAUAGUAAGAGGAGUUUUGCUUAAUCCCGGAAAGGAUCCUGGGUGGGGGCGAUGAUUUGGGUGAAGAUGCACCAAGCGAUGAGAGUUAAGAAAAUUCUGGAACAUUCUCUUUCAAGACACUGCAAAUCAGCACGCUGAUCGGAGGCUGCACAGCGUUACUCGGCCAUUGUGGUAUAAGACUCCCAACUUCAUCUGGACACAGCCGUAACCUUCAUCCAGAAUCCCUGGCAACUGAACGGUUAAAGACUGACCUUCACCUGUUGCAACAUCGCAGAGCUUCCCUGAUGUUCAUGGUACAGUACACAUUUUCCUCUUUAGGUAAUCUUAAUCCUCCAGUGUGACCGUUCAGUUCGUAGAUACCCGGAUCUGCCUGGAGCCAUUUCUCUUCAGAUUAGCAAUGAUGUUAAACAAUCUGCUUAUAGCAGUCCAUGUCCAGCGUCUUUUCUAGUGUCAUUGUGAUGAUAAAGACUCGGACAUUUUUCAGAAUGGUGAUCCAUUUUUUGCUUUCAUUACUUUUUUGUGGAAUUUCUGUUCUUCUGCCACAAUAAAGGGCCCAAGAUGUCAUUGUGCAUGUUCUGUGGGGUCAUCAUCCUUUAUUUCAAGUCACGUGUGCCUACACGUCGGUCAGAAAAUCACAAAGUGACAUUCAGGGUCUGCACUGAAGGAUCAUGCCUCCCUAGAGAAGUAGAGACAUAUACCUAGUUUUGCUUAGUCUUCUUACAUUGACCCCAAUAACUGGUAUUUAUUCUGAAGCCUCUUGCAUGUGAGAAACAUAUCCAUGUAUGUACAUGGAAGAUGCAAUGAAAAUCUGAGUUGUGUUCUUUAAAGUAACCUCAAAACAGUUUCAAGUCCAGCCAGGUGAUCGAAGCAAGGUGCAUUUGCUAGUGCUGACUCCAUACUAAGAUGUACAGUUGUUAGUAGUUUGCUACUGCCUAGACAGUAAAUAUACCAAGUACUAGUGCUCCUGUACUUCUGGGUGGUGCAAAGUUACAUUAUUUGAAUAAUUGGUUUCUUACUCCAGGAUGCUGCAACUUAAGAAAGAGUUAGUAUAUACAGUAAUGGGAGUGCAGAAGUUUGUAAAAUAAACUUAGAUGAGUUUGCCAACAUUUUCCAGAUUUUUGUUUUGAAUCAGUCAGCUCUUCAGUUAUUAACAUUGUCUGUAUUUCAGCUACAAGCUCCUCUGCAAAAAUAUUUGUUUCAGAUUAAAUAUUUAGAGAUGUAAUACAAGUCUGCAUAACAUAACUUGUAUUGCUUUAAUCCUUUGCAUUUAUAUUCCAAAAUUGUAAACUUUUAUCACAAAUAAGAAAAAAAAACGUAGGUUUAAAAGUUUGCUGUAAUAACCAAAGCUAUAUUUACUGUUCAUAUUUGGUAGUGAUACAGAUGAAUAAAAUCUUUGAUUAGCAUAUCUUAGGUGACUGACAGAACUGGCAGGAAUAGGUGUGUUUGCCUAUCCUGAGGGGGAAGCAGAGCAGAUCCAGCCCCAGAAUACAGCAGUCCCCUUUGUGAAGGGGUUAUGAUGCAGUUGACAUGGCCAGGGGGUGAGUGUUAGGCUCAACAAACCACAGAUUGGAGGUAGCCUUUAAAGGUGGGUGUCUGGAAAAGUGAACCCCAAGGGAGAAAUCAUCACCCAAUCCAUGGUGUGUGAUUAGGGCCAUCACAAAUGUUCUCAUUACUGAUAACACAGGAAACCUGUGGUUGCACGAAUUAUCGCCCCUCCAUGGAUCUUGUAUCUAUGGUCAUGGAAAGCUUCACACCAGAGAGAAGUGAAGAGGGAAAAGAAGAGAGGAUUAGUAAUGGAAAAGUUGAAAAAAAUAAAAAACAAAGUUUUAAUUACCUGCAAUGCAAAGGAUUUAGUGUAGAAAACAAAACUCUGGUAAUAUCACAGCACGAUGAAACAACGAGUCCCCAAACCAAGGAGGAACAGGAAGCAUCUGAUGACUUGCUACAUGAUGAUGCUCUGGUACCUUCAGUAGGAAAGAAGUACAAAAGUUCAUUAAUAUAAAUAAUUAGGACAGAUUACUGUGCAGCUAAAUUUAAUAACAGGUAAAAUCUUACCACAAGAACAGAGCAGUAAGUAAAAGAAGGGAAGAAAUAAGAUGCCAUCAUGGGAGCAUUGAAUAGAGAACAAAACUGAAACAAUUAAGACAAGAAGUGUCACUGUUAGAAGAAUAUAAAGAGGGAACAGAUAAAACAAAAUGCUUAGAAAGAUAGACAUGGUAAAAGCAACACACAGUGUCAGAACAGACCAUGAUCUGUCAUUCAGUGUUGCAAAUAAUAAACUAAAGAUAAUCAGCAAAGGCUGGAAAAACAGUAGAUAUGCAAAUAAAUGUAAAUGAACAGUACAAAAUGAAUAGAAACAUCACCAAUAAAAAGAAAUAGACAUGUUUUGAAGAAUAUUUAUAAAGACCCUGUGAAACAAAGAUGCUGAAUGGACAGAAAAACUAAAAGAAACAGUAAGGAUUUCAGAUGUACUGGAUAUGAAAUAGGAUGAAGUUAACGACCAGAGAAAUUGAAACAAAGUUAAGAAAAGCUUCUGAAUGCUUCUAAAUUGAAAACCCUAGUCCCAGAUGCAGUACAUAACUUCUGGCUAAAAGUGUUAAUAUCUUUACAACAUAAAAUUAGCACUGAGUAAGGAUUACUUAUGUACACAUCCCAAACAGACCUCAACCUGAUUAAGAGGAAAAACAUUACUCCUACUUAGAGUAAACCUGUAAGCCAUCUUAAAAACUAUAGACCAACAACUUGUCUUCUGAUGUGCAAAUUAUAUACUAGAAUUGAUGCAAACAGAGUUUAUAAUCAUUUAGAAGAAAACUCAAAAAUGGCAAUAGAACAAAAAGGUGCAAAAAAAAAAAAAAGUAGUCAUAUGAAAAAAGGGUCAUCUGUUGCUAAAUAAAGCUAUACUAGAGAUUCUUCCCCUUCUCAAAAUUGUAACAACUAUGGCACAGCUAGAUUUUAGAAUUUGAUGGCAUCCCACAUUCAUGGAUAAAUGAGUGCUUACAGAUGUGCGUAAUACAUCCUACACUGAUCAGUUACAUUAUAGUGACUGUGAAAUAGUGGCAAGCCAAUCUGCAGUUAAGCCAUGACAGAGGGCAAUGUAUUAUCCCUAGGAUAAAAAUUCAAAAGGGGAUAUUCCGAGUUGAUUUUUUUGUCUUACCCUUAACCCAUUAAACAGAUAAGGUAUUGGUUAUUUGGCUCCCAGAAAGCAGCCUUGCUUAAAGACUUCUAAUCUGCAUUUUGUGUAUGAAUUAAAGCUGCAUAGUUAAUCAGAUGAAGAGUUGAAAGCACAAUUGCAAGUGGGUAAAACUUUCUCAGAUGCAACAUGAAUGUCAUUUGGUCUUGAUAAAUGUGCAAAAUCAACGUUUAAAUCGGGAAAGUUUUAAUCUCAAAAAAAUAUCAAUUUGAGAAGGGGAUGGGAUUUAAAACCUUGAGUAGGAAGGAGUUUAUAUUAGUUUGGAAACUGAUAAAGAACCAGCAAUAAAACAUGAACAAAUGCAAAUAAAACUUGGUUAAGAAUGCUUCAGAAGUCUAAAACUAAUUUUGAAAACAGACUUAAUAACUAGGAGUAAAGUCCAAGCUGAAAAUUGAUUUGCUCUUCCUGUUCUAAUUUAUAGUUUUGGUGUGAUCGACUGGCCCCAAAAGAUAUUCGAUCAAUUUGGCAGAAAAGCAAAAAGAAUGCUUCACACUUAUCAAACAAUAUAUAAAAUUCAGUGUAUACCAAGAUUAUAUAAUCCAUGCUGUGAAGGAGGUUAUGGGCCUCCUUGAAAUUGAUUACGUGUAUAGAUCUGCAGUUGUGGGACUGCAUCCAUAUCUGCCAACCUUGUCAGAUCCAAAUGCAGUGAAAGUUUUAAAACAUAAGGAGAGGGAUUGGGGUUUUGUGUAAUGGUUAAGUUGUUUACCUCACAAACACAAGGUACUGGGUUUGAUUAUCACCAUAGGGGAAUUAGCUAGGCUUACAAUGUCCCACAAGGCUAGCUAGCCUAGUACUUAGCAUGAAUUUAAGGAAGUCCAAGAUAAUCUCUGCAUAAUUUAGCAGAAGCAUUCCAGUGUCAAGCAGGAAUGGAAAUCGAACCAGAAUUGUAUAAAAAUCAGACAGGAACUGACUGUCCCAGAAUAGCAAAUUAAAGAAUGUAAGAAGGAAAGAAAUGUGGAAAAGCCAUAAAUGUAGUGGCAAGUAUAGAGAUCUCUUGGAACAACCACAUGUUGAUCAGGAUUUGGUGGCACAGGAAUAGUUAAGGAGAGGUGGGUUGAAAUAAAAGGAUGAAUGGUUAAUAAUGGCAACCCAGGAUAGUGGACUAUGUACAAGUUGGUUUGCAAAGUCCAUUGAACAUGUGGGAGAAAUGCAUGUAGGUUCUGUAAAAAGGAAUUGUAAGCAGCUGCACAUUUUGUUGCUGAAUGUGAUAUACUUAUGGCAGAGGGCCUGUACACUGAAAAGCAUAAUAAUGUGG